GUGCUUGCCUCGGCAGCACAUAUACUAAAAUUGGAACGAUACAGAGAAGAUUAGCAUGGCCCCUGCGCAAGGAUGCCACGCAAAUUCGUGAAGUGUUCCAUAUUUUU
rnacentral:snRNA from 1 species